GUUAAUGCAGAAUUUUUUACUGAAACUUAGCCAAUUUUUUAUAAUAUUUUUUUCAGGUUCCUGAGCUGUAAUCUGAAAUCAUAUAAAUUAUAGUUAGAAAAUGAUGCAACGCUUGUUCUGAAAAAGUUAAACCCCACCCCUGCCCUCAGGACCUGACUUCUGCUUCAUGUGAACUUUUCAAAUCUAAAGGAAAGGAAACAUCUGGUGUAUCAUCUGGCCAAUGAGGACAAAGGCAGAUUUACCCUUCUUACAGCCUUGUGGAUGAGGAGUGGUACUGAGGCUGGAGGAAACUGCAUUUGUUUCUCCUAACUUCAGAGACAUCCAGGUUCUUCCUUUAUGAGCAGUGGAAUUCACUUUGAACAAUAUGAGACAUGACAUAUCAGAGCAUGGACUACUUGCAAUUAUGGAAUAGGUC
rnacentral:lncRNA from 1 species